rnacentral:tRNA from 1 species
GGGGGCGUAGCUCAGUUGGUAGAGCAUCACCCUUUUAAGGUGGCUGUCCACGGUUCGAGUCCGUGCGCCCUCA